rnacentral:rRNA from 1 species
UACGUAGGGUGCAAGCGUUGUCCGGAAUUAUUGGGCGUAAAGAGCUUGUAGGCGGUGUGUCGCGUCGGCCGUGAAAACCUGCAGCUUAACUGUGGGCUUGCGGUCGAUACGGGCAUCACUGGAGUUCGGUAGGGGAACGACGGAAUACCUGGUGUAGCGGUGAAAUGCGCAGAUAUCAGGAGGAACACCGAUGGCGAAGGCAGGUCGUCUGGGCCACUACUGACGCUGAGAAGCGAAAGCAUGGGGAGCGAACAGG